ACCAAGGCAAGCCAUUGCCUUGCACAGUGUCCUGAUGCCUCCCUGCUCCACAGAAAUCUCUCAGCACACUGUGCAAGAUUUCUCUGGUAUCUUGGUAUCUGCAGCCACUAGCUUGUUUCUGUUUAUCAAAUCCUUUCCUCCCCUCUGGGAGCAAUAGACCAGAGGUCAAGUUUUCCCAGCAAAAAUUCUAAUUGCUCCCUAAGAGCAGGGCUGUCUGCUGUUCUCUUUCAGCCCUGUUGCAUUACUGAGGUGCUCUUUAAUAUCAUGCUUGUGAUAUUCGGGUUCUCUUCUAAAUGAGGGCUCAUUGUCAUCACCAGAUGUCACUGCCUGGCUUCUCUUUCUGUCUGGGUCAUCAGCUAAAGUGGUUUAAUUGUUUCCAUUCCAGUAGAAUUCUAUGAUUUCCAUUGUUUCUGCUUUCUCCUCAUUUGUUAGAUCCUGUCCUGUCAGCAUGACCAUGGCAUGGAAUUCUGGCUUCUGUGCAGAUUCCUCUCAGGGGCUCACAUCACUGAAGUUACUUUAGCACAGAAUCUCCCCGCACUCCGGACGUUGCACCUCUCACCGCCGGCCGCCCAGCACGGACUCCCCCCCGCACUCAUCCCUCCGGCAUCCCCCCACCAUCCAGAGGCACCGAACACCGGUUGCAUUUUUUUUAUUUAAUUUCUCGUUACGUGCGUUUCAAACCUUGGAGGGCUCCGUGCCUGGCUGCAGCACCGGCGAGCCCGCACGCCGUUCCUCGGCAUCCGGCCGUGCCUCCCUCUCUCCGCCCCGGGGCUGACCCUCGGCAGGGAUGCGCUCCCGGGUUUUUCCUCUCCCCGGGGGAAAAAGGGGCUGUUCUGCUCCGGGCACCUCUGUCAGCUGAAGGGGGCGGGAGCUGCAGCCUUGAAGUAGAAAAGGAAGAAGGAAAAGCAGCGGGGCGAGGAUGAGCGGCGCCGGACAGCGGUGGGCGGUGGGCUGAGCCUGCGGGCACCGCGGGCUGCGGGAGGAGGAGGAGGAGGCGGCAGAGGAUGCGGCGGGUCAGGGAUGCUGCGGCUGAGCACCCACCUGCCUAGGGAGAGCAGCAUCGUCCUCCGAGGGCGAGGGAGAAAGUGGGAGGAAAGCGGCGGAGCUCUCUGAGCUCUGCAAGGACUGCCCGCCUGACACCCCAGCAAAGUUUCCUGAGCUCGGUGACGAGAGGAGAGCAGGGAUGUGAGAUCCCUCUGCCCGCAGGCUUCCAGCCCCCGUUCUGCUGGGACGAACCAUGGCUUUGCCAUCCCCGAGUGAAGGGUGAGGGUGAGACCCCGGGCAGCCGCUCUCUCCGUCGCCUUCCCCGGCUCCGCGCUCCCUCCCAGGUGAGUGUCCUCCCCUUCCAGACACCCAGCCUCUCUCUGCCC
rnacentral:lncRNA from 1 species